AAUAUUUUUCAAAUGUUACUCUGACAUUUAUUUGAGAUCAAUGCAACAGUUUAAAGUACCUUGUAAUUUGGACUUGGAAAUAACGUUGGUAGUAUAUUAAUUUUCUGUUAUUAGAAUGUUAUUGUUUUAUAUUGUACGCAACGCUCAUCGCGACAGCCAUGAUGCGUACAUUUACGUAUGUACAAUGCGUGAGUGCGUAUACACGCGUGUGGAUCGAGCAGUGCGGAGUGCUCUUUAUUUAGAGUAUAUUUAUAUAUAACUGUUUGAACGCGUCGAGAUCAUGAGCAGACGCACGCUUGUCGCGACAGCCCAUCGGAAGCAGUAAUAGUUCUGGAGAUUGUAGUCGCAUUAUCUUACAUACGUAUGAUGCGUGAGUGUGUCAUAUAUACGUACGUUUGUGCUUGUGCUGUCGAGCGCUUUUAAUUGUAUACAACAUUUUUAUAUGAGUAGCUGGUGAUUCAAGAUCUAUUUUUUGACCUAUAUAAGAGAGAGAUUUGCAGAAGAAAAGAAAUAUACCAAAGUAUUAAGGAUCAAACAUAUUCUUGAUGUAUGUACUCGGGCCGCGAGACUGAGCAAUAUUCUAAGGAAAGUAUUAUACAAUUGUAUCGUUUUAUAUUGUGCGCAACGCUCAUCGCGACAGCCAUGAUGUACAUGAUUAUCUUACAUACGAUGCGUGAGUACGUAUACACGUGUGUCAAUCGAGGAGUGCAGAGUGCUCUUUAUUUACAGCAUAUUUAUAUAUAAGUAAUAAUUUAUAUUCUAAAAGUUGUAUAUUAAUGAUAAGAAUUCAUUUAACCAUACGUGCUAUAAUUAUUUAUUGUGCUAUGAAUAGUAGCUGGUGAUGUAGGAUUCAUUUUCCAAUUUACAAGAGAGAUUUACAAAAGAGAGGAAAUAUCAAUUAAUUUUUUUAUGUUCUAUAAUAGAUUUGUCCUUGGACAUUAAAAAUAUCAUCAAGGGCAAUAAAUAUGUCUUAACAUAUGGGAUCAAUUGUUGUAUCAAAUUCAAAAAACCACCAUUUGAAAAAUUUGACCCUGGCUAAGAUAAACAUCAGUGAACAAUAUAUUAUAAGGAAAACUCUGUACAAGAUACUAGAAAUGCUAAAACAUGAUCAAGAAGCUUUUACACAAGUUAGGCUAUUAGACAACAAUUCCUUGUAAUACAGAGAAAGACUUGGAACACUUUAUAAUGGAAUGGCUUAGAUUUGCAAACAUCCGUAAAUAAAGAAAAAAAUCUUAAAAGCAACUGUUUGGUAAAGAUCCGGAAAGAUUAAUAAUCUGUUUAAAAGAAAAGAAUAAGAGUUUGGAAAAAAAUAGUAAAAGAGUUAUAUUAAACUAAAGCAUCUGUAUCGCAUUGCCUAAAGAAGAGUUAGAAGGCACCUUAAUUUCCCUUAUCCGAAGGCUGACUUCAAAAAUCCCUUCCUAGGAUUCCUUCCUAGGAUCAAUACUUUCUGAGGUAAUUGGCAGAGAUAAUUUGCAGAAAUAAUUGGCACACGAAAUAAAUCUCAUAAUAAAACCUAUAUAUGUAUAUGUAUAUGUAUAUAUUU